GUGCAGCAGUCGAGAAUACUCCGCAAUGCUCGAAAGAGUGACGGGGGAUUCCAAGUGCCUACGCUUAGCGUAGGCUGUUCAGAUGCCUAAAAAAGCAUCUGGAGUAAGGGCUGGGUAAGACGGGUGCCAUCUGCAGGUGGUAAUGAAAAACUUGCUACUGCAAGGCAUAAGCCGCCGCGGUAAUACCCGCAGCCCGAGUGGUAGUCGCUUUUAUUGGGCCUAAAGCGUCCGUAGCCGGUCUGGUAAAUGCCUGGGGUAAAUCGUGGGGCCUAACCUCACGAAUUCCGGGUAGACUGCCAGACCUU
rnacentral:rRNA from 1 species